rnacentral:rRNA from 1 species
CUGAGUAAACAAGCAAAUAAAUCAAAACUUUCAACAACGGAUCUCUUGGCUCUGGCAUCGAUGAAGAACGCAGCGAAAUGCGAUAAGUAAUGUGAAUUGCAGAAUUCAGUGAAUCAUCGAAUCUUUGAACGCACAUUGCGCCCGCCAGUAUUCUGGCG